rnacentral:misc_RNA from 1 species
ACGAUAUUCCGCUAUGCCCGAAUGGAGGUAUAUGAAUGUUUG